GUACAUUUAUGUCAGGUGGCAUUUUCUCAGCACUUCCUAAUGUUUUUUUCCAUCAAAUUUACAAAGUGAAAUUAUGAUUUUACCCUCCCUCCUGCUCUACACUCUAAUGGCAUAAAAUCCCGUCCAAAUAAUCUGAGAGUUUUUACGAUUCAAUUUCAAAUUCGAAGUAAUUGAUAUCCCAAAUAAUCAGGGAUUUUGUUUCCUUUUUUAAUUCGAUUUCAAAACAAUGUAAAUCUUCUCCAAAUUUGAAAUCCAUUGGCUAGGGCUUCAAGCUGCAUAUAUCUAAUGCGUACUCGUUAUGUAUUUCAUAUACAUCUCCAUCGAAACCAUCUCUCUCACCUUCUACUCUAUCAUCCCAAUAUACCCCUCCUGUUCUCACAUCUUUGUAAGUGUUCCUGCCACUAACACUCUAUUUUUCCCUAACCACUUCAUAAAUAAAUUCUAGCAAGCACCAACAACUGUAAUCCUCUUCUUGAUUACAAAAAUAAGAGCUCCAAUCUGAGGAGGACGUGGUGGAAGCGGUGGUUUCUCAGGUUGACGUGGAGAUGGAGGUGAUAGACGAGGUAGAAGGAGAUGAGGUUAUUGGUAAACUUUUGUUUCUUUCAACAAUUGUUGAAUCAGUAAGAUAUAUUUUUUUAGUGGUAACCUCUCUGACUCCUAAUUGUAUGACAAACUUGGUUGAUUUUUUUUUGUGCAUAACAAGUGUUCGAUGAAAUGUCUCACAACCAAUUCUAUUAUUUUACAUGUUUUUUGUUAGGAAUUGUUUAUGAAUAUGUGAUGCCUCCUAAGACUGAUCACGAGCAUUGGGUUUAUUCUAAUUUCAGGGUUGGAGCUAUAGACGCAAAAAAAGUGUUGCAAUGAUGGAAUUAUGUAUGAAAGAAAUGGGUAUUUUUCUCCUCCAAUUCAUUAUUUUAUAAGGGUUAAACCAAAAAAUAGCAACAUACUUUAAUCUAUUUGAUUUUCGUAAUGUAUGAGUUUGUUUAUUCGAUCUUCCUUAAGAACUAUUGCUUACCUAAAGCUUUCCAAAUAAUUAACUAGGUUUGGACCGAAUGUUACUUUUAUGUUUUACUCGUGUCAGAUAAUUUAAAAUAGCAACUUACUUUCAAUGACUUAUUACAUAAUCAAUUUUUAAUUCUAUUUAAAAUUAAUACCCGUGGGUUCCACAGGUUUUAACCUAGUAUAUUAUAUUUAUAUCCUUCCAAAGUCCAUCCUCUCUAAUAAAUAAAGACCUUAUUGUUACAUGUCACACUCUUAUUGAAUUGGUCAUAUGUCAUUUUGUGGUUAUUUUCAAUUAAUUGUUUUCCACAUGACAUUUUGUGCUUUUUUUUAUUUUAUUAAUUUUCACAUAAUUUUAAAUAUAAUAAUUGCAAUAAAUGUAAUAAUAAAUACAUAUAAAUUUCAUUAAUUGACUUCCUUCUGAUUUCAAAUUAUCUAAAUUAAAGUUUCAUUAGUUUCUUUCGUUUAUUUAUCUAAAUUAUUUGUUUAAUUUAAAAGAAAAACAAACAAUUUAAUUUUAAUAAUUCAAUAUUUUUCUAUUUUUUUCUUAUAAAUUCAAACUUCUCAAAUGUUUAGAAUUUCAUAAUUAUUUCUUUAAAAUUAACUCAUGUAAUAGAUAAGUCUUACACCUACUAGUUACAUAUAUAUCAUUCUUACCUAUUAAACUAACGUUUAUAUUCAAUCUUAUAAUGAUGUAUAUGUCAAUUUAAAUAAAAAAAUAUAGACAAAAUUGCAAAAAUGGUCAUGUGGUAUGUAUUUUUCCGAGGUUUGGUCCAAACCCCGAAUUUUUUGACUUCGUGAUCCUUUUGAUCUAGUUUGAUUGUGGUUUUGGUCCUCUAGAAAACUAAAAAGACUAAAAUGCCCUUUUGAUACAUUUUCUAUAUAUUUUUUGUAUUUAAUUUAAUGUUUUAUUAUUAAUAAACAUUGGGCCCACCUCUCUCCCUCUCUCUCACAUACACACAUAGACCUACAUAUCUUUCACUCUUCUCAUUGGUGUCUUUUUGUUUUGGGUAGCCAUGGGAGGGUGUUAAAUGUUCAAGAGCUUACGAGUAAUUUAUUAACCCAUACAACACUCAGUUAUAGGGGCAAAGCCAAACAAAAUUUUUAGAGUGUUCCUCUUAAAUUAUCAAAGUUUUGCAAGGAGUUAAUUAACAUAUCAACUUCACAUUUUUGUUUUUGAGCUGCUCCGUCUUUUGCUACAUCUAAACAAAAAAACAAAAGAAAGUAUGGGGUUCUAUUUGGUGUGUUCAUAUGCUAGUUUUGAGAGAAUGAAAAGAAAGAUGAAUAUGUAUAUUAAAAAAUCAAAGGCAAAAUGGAUGACACUUUCUCUUUAGUACUGCAAGUGCAACAAAACAGUUACAUAAACAAAGGGAAUUAAAUAAACAAAGGGGUGAGACUGUCGACAACUUCAUCUAUUUCCCACAAUCUAAAUAAUAGGAUUCUAAUUUCCGAUUUACUCACUCCACUACUACCUAAACAAACACAACAGCCAACCAAUGUGAUUACAUGAAUAAGUCUUUUUGCAGGUUAUUGAUUUGUUUCUCAAUUGCCUACAUAUACAAUAAACAUAUGCCCUAUAUUUGUUAAAAAUACAUAAUAUUAACCAUGGUUGUAAAUAUCGGCCUAGGCGGCCGAUUAAUCGGCGCCUAGGCGCUUGGCGGCCUCUAACCGCUUACGAGUAAGGGUUAGAGGGUAAAAUAAUCGGCCUUAGUCAAUAUCGGUCAAAAUCGGUCCAAAUCGGACUAAAUCGGUCCAACUCGGACUCCUAAUUGGGCCAAAUCGAUCCAGCUAACCAUGGGCUCAAAAGAACUAGUUAGCCCACCGAGCAUUUGAGUUUGAUUUUGUAAAGGAACCUAAGUCUCCUUUUAUAAGAUAUGCUUGCCUUCAAUUUUUGUCCCACCAGCGAUGUUGGAUUCCAAACUUGUAUCGUUAAUUUUUUUUUCACAACUCCAUCGAUGUGGGGUGCCGAUAGUGAAGCAUGGGAAUCCGAUUGCUUUCAUACGAAUUGAAAUCGCUCGAAACAUGAAAUCGUCGACUACUUUCUUCUCCAAGAUGUGGACUCAUCUUCUCCGACGACACAAAAAUUCCGAUUCACCUUCAAUUCAAAGUCGGAAAUCGGGACAUCUGAGAUCGAAGGAGGAAAUUGGAACUCCGAUUCACCGUCUGAGGUCUAUGUCUCGAUUAUGAAGUAACUUAUCAAUUCGUUCUUUGUCUGAGGUGUGACGUAUGUGUCUCGAUUGUCACAACCCCCUUAAAUCUGUGAUGCUGGUUAGUUAUUCAAUCCAUGAUGCAAAUUGUAAUGGAACCAGUGUUCAUGGAUAUAUCAGGUAUUGUAACGGGGUAGUGUAAAUGAAUUGAUGUUUGUAUUGUAAUUGAAUCCAUCACAACAGGUGCACACCAACUGUUUGAUAUUUUGUCUCAGUGAAAUUUGAUUCACAUUCCUUGUUUAAUUAAGUGAUUAGUGAUUAUAGGGAGGGUUAAUUGGAAGGAACAUGCAACGACUUGUUUAAUUCUCCACUUCUGCUUGUUUAAUUUUGCAAUUUGAGUUCUCCUCCAACCACUUCACCUUAUUUAAUUAACUAUUAAGUUGUUUUGUAAUUUGAGUUAUCCACCCUGUUCACUGUUAAUUUGAUUGAUAAUGUUUGGUUCAUUGUUAAUGUGUUAAUUUGUUUUUAAUGUGUUAAGGUUCUAAUUGAAGGUUAGUGUCCAAUUCCAGGUCUUUGAAACGAAUCAACCAAAGAAGCCAAGAGAAAGAACAAGAAAGAAAGCUUCUAAAACUGUUCUUGUUCCCUCAACAUUCAUAAUGCAGUAAUUAGUUAUUUAGAUGUGAUGUAUUAAGGAUCAAAGGGGUUUUUUGUAAUCAUAGUUUCAUGUUAUAAUGUUAUAUUUAUUAAUUUUUAAUUGAUAUAAUUUUAUAUUUAUUAAUGUUAUAUAUAAUGUUAUAUUCUUAGGAUUAA